UUACGACAUGACACGCCUCGAUGUAACUGGAGGGUCCGUUUUUUAAACUUUUCUCCAAUACUAUAGAGCCAUUACCAUGUCAUCAACGCUUGAAUAGAACCUAGUUCACACCCCCGAUUUUGAAGUCAACACAGUUGCUACAGUCCCAUUAAUUUUCUUUGUACGGAAUGGGCACACUGAAGAAACGACAGGCAGAGGGACCAGGCCACAGCAUUGUCACAGAGGUGAUGGAAGAUUUCAUAAAGCAGCUGAGGGACAACUUCUCCACCAGAUUUGAAGACAACAGCAUGCCCAAGGAUAUCAUUGCGUUUGUACGUGAUCCGUGGAGAAUUCAAAUCAAAUCAUAUGUUUUAUUUUUUAUUGAUUACAUUCAUGUGUUUACCAGAUGUUAUUGCGGGUGUAGCGAAAUGGUUGUGAUUCUAGUUUCGACAGUGCAGCAAUAUCAAACAAGUAAUAGUUAACGAUUUCAUAACAAAUACCCAAUACACAUAAAUCUAUGUAAAGGAAUGGAAUUAAGAAUAUAUAAAUAUAUGGAGGAGGAAUGUCAGCGUGGCAUAGACUAAGAUACAGUAGAUAGUAUAGAAUACAGUAUAUACAUAUGAUAUGAGUAAUGCAAUAUAUGUAAAGAUUAUUAUUAUUAGUGUCAUUAUUAAAAGUUAUUCAAUUAAAGUUAUUAAAUGACCCCCCCCCCCUUGCUAAGAAAAUGAUACCCUCGCAGGAUUAGGCCGACAGUCAAACUGAGCUGAUUAAAUUCCAGACACCGAGCCAAAUCAGGGAAGAGCUCAGGAGUGCGGAGUCCUUGUGUGCGUUCUGGGUGACAUGCUCAGAGGAAUACAGCACAUAAAGAAGCGUGCAUUUUACGUGUUAACAAUAUUUUGAUCGAUUUACACAUGCGAGUCCUCAUUUUUCUAUAUGAAGGUAAUAUAAACUCAAGACAGGAAUCCGGCUUUCACAUAGGUCAAUCGAAGAGUGCCUACGCAUCAAAAUCACAUCCAGCUCAUUAAUGUCUCAAUCAAAAUCUCGAUUGCCUCUUGUCCGCUCAUCCUUCUCUUAUGCCAUAGUUUGUAUUGUUUGUAUUGUUUGGUGUUGUGUUGUGUAGUGGUUUUGCUGGCAUACAUCUAAAAUUGUUUUUUUUUCCCCAAGCAAGAUUUACAUGCUAAAAUUGCUACUGAUCUCAUGCGACAUCCACAAGAUCGUGUCCGAGGGGAAAUUCAACUUUUUCCGUUGAGAGCAGGGCAAGCAGGCUCUCACGACACAGAUAUUCAGACACAGACAGUGACUUUUUUCUUUCAAUUAUUGUUUUAUGUAAGAUGCUACAUUUUUGGCCAGUUGCAAUUGUAAGUGGGCCUAAUAAAAAAAAUCCCAUUUCUAAUAGGACAUAUAUUUUUUUGUGAAAUAUGUUGUUAAGCCUCGUAGCCGAUCUCCGUCAGUUACAUUAUUUUAUAUAGGCCUAGGCUCGGAAGAAAUAAGCCCUCUUGUUGUUUAUAAAGUCUAAUAAAUAAAAAAAAGAUUGUU
ensembl:lncRNA